rnacentral:rRNA from 1 species
AUGCCAUUGUCUCCGUCACCGCCGGUGACGAGGACAAGCCCAAUGCACCACCAUCACAUUGUCUUCCUCCCCACCUUACUGCUCGUCGUAGUCCUCUUCAUUUGCACCACGGUCGCCGCCGCCGCCUCGUCCACUUCUCCGAACACCGAGGUUGCCUUUCUCUUCUCAUGGCUCGGCACGUCCCCAGCGCGGCCGCCGGACUGGUCGCCGGCGUUGGCUUCCCUGUGCAGGUGGUCGCACGUUGGCUGCGACGCGGCUGGCACGGCAGUCACGUCGAUCACCUUCCAGUACGUCCAGCUAGCGGUGCCACUGCCGGCGGGGCUCUGCACCGCACUGCCGGGUCUCUUUAGCUUCAUCGUGUCCAAAGCCAACCUCACCGGCGGCAUCCCGGAGGACCUAGCCCUAUGCCGCCUCCUCACCGUGCUCAACCUCAGCGGCAACUCUCUCACGGGCCCCAUCCCGGCGUCGCUCGGCAACUUGAGGACAUCCCUGAAAAAACUGCUCCUCUUUGACAACUGCCUCUCCGGAGAGCUCCCGGCGUCCCUCGGUGUGUCGCGGCUGCUUGAGUCCUUCCGUGCGGGCGGCAACAGCAACCUCUUCGGCCCGAUCCCCGACUCCUUCUCCAAGUUUUUCCAGCCAUUCUUGGGAGUUGGGACUGGGAAUCUCAAGAGUCUCCAGACGCUGUCCUUAUUCACCACCAUGCUCUCCGGCUCCAUCCCGCCCGAGCUAGGCGAGCUCAAGAGUCUCCAGACGCCGUUCUUAGACAACACCAUGCUCUCGGGCUCCAUCCCGCCGGAGCUCGCGCAGUGCUCUAACCUCAUCAGCGUCCACCUCCACCAUAACGUGCUCUCUGGCUCCAUCCCGCCGGAGCUAGGCGUGCUGCAGCGGCUACAGAAUCUGCUCCUGUGGGGGAACGCGCUCACGGGCCAUAUCCCGGAGAGCUUCGGCAACCUCACAUCGCUCGUGAAGCUGGACCUCUCCAUCAACUCCAUCUCCGGCGCGAUUCCAGCGGCGCUUGGGCGGCUGCCAGCGCUGCAGGACCUAGAGCUCAUCGGCAACAACCUCACCGGUACCAUCCCGCCGCAGCUCGCCAACGCGACGUCGCUCGUGCAGCUGUAUCUCGACAUCAACGAAAUCUCUGGCCUCGUUUCGCCGGAGCUCGGCGCGAGUCUGUCCAACCUGCAAGAGCUGUCAGCAUGGCAGAACCGCCUCGAGGGUGCCAUUCCAGCGACGCUCUCGUCAAUGGCGAGCCUCCAGUUUCUCGACCUCUCGUACAACCGCCUCACUGGUUUCAUACCGCCAGCGCUCUUCUUGCUGCGCAAUCUCACCAGGCUGAUGCUCAUGUCGAACGAACUAUCCGGCAUGAUGCCGCCGGAGAUCGGGAAGGCGGCAAGCCUCGUGAGGCUCAGGCUAAGCAGCAACCACAUCGCCGGGAUGAUUCCCGCGGCUGUGGUCGGGAUGAACAACAUCGUCUUCCUCGAUCUCACCAGCAACCGCCUCACCGGCCCUCUCCAGAUGCUCGAUCUCAGCAACAACACGAUCAGUGGAGCCUUGCUGGUAUCGCUCGCCGGCGUGCACGGCCUGCAGAAACUCGACGUCUCGCUCAAUCAGUUCGUGGGUGUCGUGCCAGAAUCAUUCGGAAGGUUAGCGGCGCUGAGUCGUCUCGUCCUCGCAAAUAACGCACUGUCAGGGAGUAUACCAGCGGCGCUCGGGCGGUGCCACGCGCUCGAGCUGCUCGACCUCAGGGAUAACCGCCUCUCCGGCGGCAUUCCCCACAAGCUCUGUGGCCUCCCCGGACUCGGCAUCGCCCUCAACCUCAGCCACAACAACCUCACGGGCACCAUUCCGGCGAGGAUAUCGGAGCUGAGCAGGCUGUCCGUGCUCGACCUGUCCUACAACGCGUUCGCCGGCAACCUCGCACCGCUCGCCAGGAUGGACAACCUCGUCACCCUCAACGUGUCGUGCAACAACUUCUCCGGGCAGCUCCCGGAUACGAAGCUCUUCCAGCAGCUCCCGGUGUCUAGCCUCGCUGGAAACCAGGGGCUCUGCACCAAAGGCGGCGAUGUGUGCUUCGCCGUGGACGCUGACGGUCGGCCGAUUACACACCGCAUGCAUGGCCUCAGGCUCGCUGUUGCGCUGCCUGUGACGGCGACGGUGGCCAUUGUGCUCGGCAUGAUAGCUAUACUACUGAGAGCGCGCGGGGUCGGCAGGAAGGUAGGCGACAACGGUGUGGGCAGCGACUCGGAGGCCGGCGUCGCAGAGCUUGGGUGGCCGUGGCAGUUCAUGCCGUUCCAGAAGGUGAGCUUGUUGGUGGACCAAGUGGUGCGGGGCCUCGUCGAUGCAAACAUCAUUGGCAAGGGCGUCUCCGGCGUGGUGUACCGCGUCAGCCUGGUCUCCGGCGAGAUCAUCGCUGUCAAGAAGCUCUGGCCCGCCGCCACAUGCAAUGACGUCGUCCGGGACUCGUUCACGGCGGAGGUGCGCACGCUCGGAUCCAUCCGGCAUAGGAACAUCGACUACAUGGCGAACAGCAGCCUCGGCGCCGUCCUCCACCAGCGCGAGGUCCAUGGCGGCGGAGCGGUGCAGCUGGAGUGGGAUGUCAGGUACCGGAUUGUGCUAGACUCAGCAGAGGGGCUGGCGUACCUGCACCACGGAUGUUCGCCGCCGAUCGUGCACCGUGACAUCAAGGCCAAUAACAUCCUCAUCGGCAUCGACUUCGAGGCCUACAUUGCCGAUUUCGGCCUCGCCAAGCUCGUCCACAACGGAGCCGACUUCAGCCGCUCCUCUUACACCAUCGCUGGCUCCUGCGGCUACAUCGCCCCCGAGUAUGGGCACAUGCUGAAAAUCACAGAGAUGAGCGACGUGUACAGCUAUGGGGUGGUGAUUCUAGAGGUGCUGACGGGGAAGCAUCCGAUCGACCUGACGAUCCCUGGUGGGCUUCAUUUGAUCGACUGGGUUCGGCAGCACAAGGGUGGCGCCAGAGUGCUCGACCCGGCGCUGCAGGGGCAGUCCAAGACUGAGGUGGAGGAGAUGUUGUGGGUUAUGGGCGUCGCCAUGCUGUGCGUCAACACCAUCCCCGAUCAACGGCCGGCGAUGAGGGACGUCGUGGCGAUGUUUGGGAGAUUCCGAUCGAGCACGAGGAGCACUCCAAGCUCGACGCCCGGCUCAAGGAUGUUGGCGGCGAUGGGUCACUGA